CGGGACGGGUGAGUAAUGUCUGGGAAACUGCCUGAUGGAGGGGGGUAACUACUGGAAACGGUAGCUAAUACCGCAUAACGUCGCAAGACCAAAGAGGGGGACCUUCGGGCCUCUUGCCAUCGGAUGUGCCAGAUGGGAUUAGCUAGUAGGUGGGGUAACGGCUCACCUAGGCGACGAUCCCUAGCUGGUCUGAGAGGAUGACCAGCCACACUGGAACUGAGACACGGUCCAG
rnacentral:rRNA from 1 species